rnacentral:rRNA from 1 species
CCUACGGGCGGCAGCAGUGGGGAAUAUUGCGCAAUGGGCGCAAGCCUGACGCAGCGACGCCGCGUGAGGGAUGAAGGUCUUAGGAUCGUAAAACCCUGUCAGCAGGGAAGCAAGGUCACUGUGCUAAUCAGCAGUGAAUUGACGGUACCUGCAAAGGAAGCACCGGCUAACUCCGUGCCAGCAGCCGCGGUCAUACGGAGGGUGCGAGCGUUAGUCGGAAUUACUGGGCGUAAAGCGCUGGGAGGCGGUAUGUCCAGUCAAGGGUGAAAUCCCCGCGCUCAACGUGGGAACUGCCGUUGAAACUGGCAAACUGGAGUGUGUGAGAGGAUAGUGGAAUGCCAGGUGUAGGAGUGAAAUCCGUAGAUAUCUGGAGGAACAUCAGUGGCGAAGGCGACUAUCUGGCACAUAACUGACGCUGAGGAGCGAAAGCGUGGGUAGCGAACAGGAUUAGAUACCCGUGUAGUC